UCCCCCUUAGCUCAGUGGUAGAGCGCGUCACUAGUAACAUGUCCUAGCUUGGGCAAUGACGAGGUCAGUCGUUCAAGUCGGCUAGGGGGAA